UACAUGGGGUGCAAACGUUGCUCGGAAUUAUUGGGCGUAAAGCGCACGUAGGCGGUUUGUUAAGUCGGAUGUGAAAUCCCUCGGCUCAACUGAGGAAGUGCAUCCGAAACUGGCAGGCUUGAGUACUAAAGAGGGUCGCGGAAUUCCCGGUGUAGAGGUGAAAUUCGUAGAUAUCGGGAGGAACACCAGUGGCGAAGGCGGCUCACUGGUCCAUUACUGACGCUGAGGUGCGAAAGCGUGGGGAGCAAACAGG
rnacentral:rRNA from 1 species